rnacentral:sRNA from 1 species
UCCACGGUUGGAUCACACUCGUGCAGUCAAUUAUUUCAGCAAGGUUAAACAGCUACCACUGGUGAAACCAUAUUUGCGUUCAGUUCAGAACCAUAACAACAAAUCUGUGAAUGAAUCACUGAACAACCUUUUUAUUACGGAAGAAGAUUAUCAGGUAAAACCUUUUGAUUCUUGCACAUAAUCUCAAGACUCACAAAGUUAUGUUUUCCCAUUUUUUAAAAAAGCCAUUAUCCUUUAGGAUUGUAAACAGUAGGUGCUUGCAUACCUAGGAUCUAAAUUUAGUAAGAUUUCAGGAUUGAUAAAUCUUAACUUCUAAUUAAAUGCCAAGUUUUCAGAAUUUUGCUCAGAUCUUGUAUAAGAUACUGCUUUUGAAAAAAUGAUAUGAUUACUUUAUCUCUAACAUCUAGAUUGUAGGUAGAGUCAAAAAUGUCUUUGACCACUUAAUUAGUUCAUAAAAUUUAUUUGGUAUUAACUAUAUUUAUUCACCAUUUUUCUUGCCUACUGUUUUAUUAGUGUUUGUAUAAACUUUCUCUUAUGAAGGAUUUCACAUAAGCAGAAGUGAAGUAGAGUUAAGCUUAAGCUACUUGCCUUUUUUUCUCUCUCUUGAUUUUCUUUGAGGCUCAGUGCAUGCAGAUCUGUACUGCUGCCAUGCUGAGUUUUAUCAGAAGUUUCUCUAGAGCACAG